rnacentral:lncRNA from 10 species
CUGGAUUUCAUUUGCCUUUAAUUAAACACAAAGCUGUUACAUAUUUUUCUCUUCUAAUAGCUGCUGGAAGUCUAAGCAUAUGGAAACGAUACCUAUGAAAAUCAAAUGGACAUUUUGGGCUUUGUGGAUCAUUAAAGGUUUACACUUAAAAAUUAUUUUUUAAUUAAAAAAAUAAAAAUUAAUUAAAGGAUGACAAAUACAUUGGGAUGUUACUCAAAAUGAUAAUCCUGUCUGCAGCUCACUUCAGUUAUUCCUUGACUAGUUCUCUCACCGUCCAUAGAUUUUAUCCUCACCAGGAAAUCAUGGCACACUUGCCUAGAUAUCACUGUGCACAUGGGAAAACACUCGCAACGGGCUACAACUGUGCAGAUGACCAUAACUCUUCCUCACCCUGUGAGGAACUCUAGUUUUCUGCAGAACACAAUUUUUCCAUCAGUGUGUAGGGGCAGCAAAGUGACAAUGCCAAAUAUAUAAGGCAAUUUAAAAUUAUUUCACAAAGGUAUUAAAAACAAACACCCACAUUGUGGUUCAAAUCCAGAUGAAGUACCUGGUCCCAGAUGCCAAUGUCCAAACUCAUAAAAACAUAUGACAUGGGCCUGGUGCGGUGGCUCACAAGUAUCAUUUUUAAAGUCACCAUGUUGAUUUGGCAAUUUUCAAUAUUUUAAUACAUUCUCCCAGUAAAUAAAAAACAGAGAUUGACAUUUGUUAGUAUACAACUUAUUUGAAAAACUCAGUUAAAUAGGCUAUUUCUAAGAAACAUUUUAUCCAUUUGUAUAGAAUCCAACUUCUUUAAAAACACAAACACAGUAAAUAGAUAUUUCUCAGAAACAGAAACUUUUGUUUUAAUAAUACAUAAUCAAACAUAAUAACUGAACACAUACUGAGAGAUUGUAUUCAGCUCUAUGUGACAGGAAAUUUCCAGAGUUUACCUGAUAAGCCAGUAUUGUCUUUCAUUUUCUCAUGAAAGGUAAGAUUUAUCUCACGAAGAAUACUAGGUCACAGUAGAUGCAGUAGGGAAACAAUCCCCUGUGCUUUUUUAAAAAAUUAUUCUUUAUUUAUUUAUUUUUGAGACAGAGUCUCGCUCUUUCGCCCAGGCUGGAGUACAGUGGCACGAUUCCAGCUCACUGCAAGCUUCGCCUCCCAGGUUCACGCCAUCCUCCUGCCUCAGCCUCCCGAGUAGCUGGGACUACAGGCGCCCGCCACCACACCUGGCUAAUUUUUUGUAUUUUUAGUAGAGACGGGGUUUCACCAUGAUAGCCAGGAUGGUCUCGAUUUCCUGACCUCGUGAUCCGCCCACCUCAGCCUCCCAAAGUGCUGGGAUUACAGGCGUGAGUCACCGCGCCCAGCCGCAAUCCCCUGUGUUUUUAUGGUUGUACCAUUGUAUCUGUCAUGGAAGCAGGAACACAGAAGCACAAGAAAUACUGAGACAAUGAGGUAUUAAGAUAAUGAUAAUAUGGCCAGGCAUAGUGGCUCACACCUGUAAUCCCAGCACUUUGGGAGGCCAAGGCGGGCAGAUUUCAGGAGUUUGAGACCACCCUGGCCAACAUGGUGAAACCCCGUCUCUACUAAAAAUACAAAAAUUAGCUGGACAUGGUGGUGCAUGCCUAUAGUCCCAGCUACUUGGGAGGCUGAGGCAGGAGAAUCGCUUGAAACCGGGAGGCGGAAGUUGCAGUGAGCCGAGAUCGUGCCGUUGCACUCCAGCUUGGGCAACAUAACAGGACUCUGUCUCAAAAAAGAAAAAGAAAAAAAACCCAAAAAAACCUAUUUUCCAAUUCCAACCCAGAAGCCAGGUCAAAGAGCAAACAGCAACAGAUGAAAAAAAUAGUUCCCACGAGACUACACUCCUCCAAGAAUUUGCAUGCAUACGUAUUUCUACCAACUACCUAUUAGUCCACAAGCAAAAUGAAGAAGGAUUCUCUGACCAAUAGCAUAAAGCCACUGAAUUACUUGCCUGUAUAAGUAGAAAGUAUUAACAUUAAAAAUAGUUUUUCCCUGUAAAAUGGAAAGGUGGAAUAAAAGUAACAUGGUAGUAAUAUCCAGCUUGGAACACACAGGGCCAGUCAGAAAAUGUCAACAAACACCCAUAUUUCAUUGGUCUAAUGGCCUCACACGGAGUAACAAAAAAAAUAUAUAAAAAUUAAAGUUAAUGCAUAUUAAAAUACAUCAGAUCACCCAUGGGUGCAAUACACUUCUAAAUGAAAAGAGAAACAUUAGUAAUUUAUAAGAAAAAACCAUUAUGUAUCAAAAUUUCAGUACUAUAGGUGAGAGAGGACUUACAGGAUUCUCCCCUCAACUUUACCUGCAAGAGAACUGCAAAUUCAUUUGCUAGAGGCCCACUUUUAGGAUGUGGUCCUGAUAAAGGCAAUACCAUAUUUAUAAACGUCAUGAGAUUCUUCUCCUGCCAUGAAUUUUCUUUUUUUGGAGAUGGAGUCUCGCUCUGUCACCCAGGCUGGAGUGCAGUGGUGCCAUCUCGGCUC